rnacentral:rRNA from 1 species
UGGGGAAUUUUGGACAAUGGGGGAAACCCUGAUCCAGCCAUCCCGCGUGUGCGAUGAAGGCCUUCGGGUUGUAAAGCACUUUUGGCAGGAAAGAAACGUCGCGGGUUAAUACCCCGCGAAACUGACGGUACCUGCAGAAUAAGCACCGGCUAACUACGUGCCAGCAGCCGCGGUAAUACGUAGGGUGCAAGCGUUAAUCGGAAUUACUGGGCGUAAAGCGUGCGCAGGCGGUUCGGAAAGAAAGAUGUGAAAUCCCAGAGCUUAACUUUGGGAACUGCAUUUUUAACUACCGGGCUAGAGUGUGUCAGAGGGAGGUGGAAUUCCGCGUGUAGCAGUGAAAUGCGUAGAUAUGCGGAGGAACACCGAUGGCGAAGGCAGCCUCCUGGGAUAACACUGACGCUCAUGCACGAAAGCGUGGGGAGCAAACAGGAUUAGAUACCCUGGUAGUCCACGCCCUAAACGAUGUCAACUAGCUGUUGGGGCCUUCGGGCCUUGGUAGCGCAGCUAACGCGUGAAGUUGACCGCCUGGGGAGUACGGUC